UGGUGGGGUGACUUGUCUGCUUAAUUGCGAUAACGAACGAGACCUUAACCUGCUAAAUGGCCCGCACUGCUCCGGCAGUGCGCUGGCUUCUUAGAGGGACUUUCGGCUCAAGCCGAAGGAAGUUUGAGGCAAUAACA
rnacentral:rRNA from 1 species